rnacentral:rRNA from 1 species
GGAAUAUUGGACAAUGGGCGAAAGCCUGAUCCAGCCAUGCCGCGUGUGUGAAGAAGGUCUUCGGAUUGUAAAGCACUUUAAGUUGGGAGGAAGGGCAGUAAGCUAAUACCUUGCUGUUUUGACGUUACCGACAGAAUAAGCACCGGCUAACUUCGUGCCAGCAGCCGCGGUAAUACGAAGGGUGCAAGCGUUAAUCGGAAUUACUGGGCGUAAAGCGCGCGUAGGUGGUUCGUUAAGUUGGAUGUGAAAGCCCCGGGCUCAACCUGGGAACUGCAUCCAAAACUGGCGAGCUAGAGUAUGGCAGAGGGUGGUGGAAUUUCCUGUGUAGCGGUGAAAUGCGUAGAUAUAGGA